CCGAGGCCGUUCCCCAAGGAUGCGCGGGCCCGAGGGGAGGGCGACGCGGCCCGCGCGGCGCGUUCCUGGCCGCCUGGAGUCCGGAAACGGUGAAUCCCACUCGCAGCGGACCCAGGGGAGGCGCAGCGGGACGGGAUCGGUGGGAACGGAAACAGCGGUCACCCGGAAGCCCAGAACCAGCGAGUGCGUGGUGCAGUGUUCGCUUCCCAAACGUUGUGGGACAAACGCCUUUCAACUGUUUCUGGACGCCCGUGGGCCGGCGUUACCCUGUUGAGCUAUUCCUUUCGAUUAGCUUAGUAUUGUUAGUACUGUUGUUAUUUGGAAACUUUAGCCUACAACGAUAUAUUUCUUAAUUUGGAAAAUGAAGACCUAUCUGCCCAAUCAGCCACUCUGUUUCAGGCAUUCACCUCUGGUCCGUUUGAUCUCAGGCAGCGUGCUGAAGAGGAUGAACCGGGCAGCUGGAGUUUCCAGGGGCACGGAGCCUGCGGGGCGCACGGAGGGGCCUCGAGCGCGUGGCCCUGCGCGUCCCGGGGGCGCCCGCUGUCCACAGCCGCCUCGGUAGCUCCGCCACCACCCCUGGGAGAUGGAACAGCGGGUGUGGGGAGGAACGAACCCGGUUUUGGUGAAGUUCUAGUUCCACGCUGCUAGAAACGUUCUUCAGGUCAACUCUGGAGAGGAUUGGACUGGGAGAGGUCUGCAGGAGGCUGGAGUCUGUUUUCAGGAGCUUAAUGGGUGGCGAGCCCGCAGUGUUAUAAUUUUUAUUGCAGGCCGGUCCUAUCUCAGGCACUCUGCUGAGCUUUGCGGGUUUCUCCUAGUCCUACUCAACCACCGUGUGCCCCAAGCUCUUCCCAUCCAGGCCAGGACCAGGGUGAGGCCAGCAGGGAUCUGAGGUCCAGAACUUAAGGAAGCGCUCACUCUCAGGCCUGACUCUCCACCAGCACAACCCCGAGAAUGGGUGCCUCCUUAGAUGUUGCACCCCAGGUGCCUGUCUCACCUGGUCCGGAUCCCACCUUGCGAAGGAGGAAUCCAGAGGUCAGAGAGGAAUUUUGCGACACUGGUUGCUAUGGCUACACGUAUUGGACCCCUAAGCCCUGGAAGCUGGGGUCAGAGAGAGUGGACAUCCUCACUGCUCCUGGAGGGACCAAUGCAACAGGGGGAGCAAAGAGGGAAGAGAGAAGCCCCUCCCAUUCGCUUCUACUGGGGCUUGUUAAGCCAUUGCCUUGGGGGCCGGCUGAUCAGCGGCAGCCAACAGCCGGCGGCUUCGGCAGGCAGAAGCAAGGACAGCCUGUGGCUACUGCAGCCCCACUGCCCGGCCACUCUUCAUGACGGGAGAGUGCCUUGGGAGGAAUGUAAAGGCAAACCACGAAACUGGCAAAUGCAUGAAGUCAAUCUCCAUGGUGCACUUCCACUCCAGGGACUGUACGAGAGGAAAAAAAGGUGCUUCAUAUCCCAACCAAAAGUAUUCUCUGUCUGA
rnacentral:lncRNA from 1 species